rnacentral:rRNA from 1 species
AGUACGUCACGAGUUUGAUCAGUGCUCAAGACGAACGCUGGCGGCAUGCCUAANACAUGCAAGUCGAACGAGACCUUCGGGUCUAGUGGCGCACGGGUGCGUAACACGUGGGAAUUUGCCUCGGGGUAUGGAAUAACUCAGGGAAACUUGAGCUAAUACCAUAUAAUGUCUUCGGACCAAAGAUUUAUCGCCCUGAGAUAAGCCCGCGUAGGAUUAGCUAGUUGGUGGGGUAAAGGCUCACCAAGGCGACGAUCCUUAGCUGGUCUGAGAGGAUGAUCAGCCACACUGGGACUGAGACACGGCCCAGACUCCUACGGGAGGCAGCAGUGGGGAAUAUUGGACAAUGGGCGAAAGCCUGAUCCAGCAAUGCCGCGUGAGUGAUGAAGGCCUCCGGGUUGUAAAGCUCUUUUACUCGGGACGAUAAUGACGGUACCGAGAGAAUAAGCCCCGGCUAACUCCGUG